rnacentral:rRNA from 1 species
AGUGAACGCUGGCGGUAGGCCUAACACAUGCAAGUCGAACGGCAGCACAGUAAGAGCUUGCUCUUACGGGUGGCGAGUGGCGGACGGGUGAGGAAUACAUCGGAAUCUACUUUUUCGUGGGAGAUAACGUAGGGAAACUUACGCUAAUACCGCAUACGACCUACGGGUGAAAGCAGGGGAUCUUCGGACCUUGCGCGAUUGAAUGAGCCGAUGUCGGAUUAGCUAGUUGGCGGGGUAAAGGCCCACCAAGGCGACGAUCCGUAGCUGGUCUGAGAGGAUGAUCAGCCACACUGGAACUGAGACACGGUCCAGACUCCUACGGGAGGCAGCAGUGGGGAACAUUGGACAAUGGGCGCAAGCCUGAUCCAGCCAUACCGCGUGGGUGAAGAAGGCCUUCGGGUUGUAAAGCCCUUUUGUUGGGAAAGAAAAGCAGCAGGUUAAUACCCCGCUGUUCUGACGGUACCCAAAGAAUAAGCACCGGCUAACUUCGUG